AUUGAACGCUGGCGGCAGGCCUAAUACAUGCAAGUCGAACGCACCUUCGGGUGAGUGGCGGACGGGUGAGUAACGCGUGGGAACGUGCCCUUUGGUACGGAACAACUGAGGGAAACUUCAGCUAAUACCGUAUGUGCCCUUCGGGGGAAAGAUUUAUCGCCAUUGGAGCGGCCCGCGUUGGAUUAGCUAGUUGGUGGGGUAAAGGCUCACCAAGGCUACGAUCCAUAGCUGGUCUGAGAGGAUGAUCAGCCACACUGGGACUGAGACACGGCCCAGACUCCUACGGGAGGCAGCAGUAGGGAAUCUUGCGCAAUGGGCGAAGGCCUGACGCAGCCAUGCCGCGUGAAUGAUGAAGGUCUUAGGAUUGUAAAAUUCUUUCACCGGGGAAGAUAAUGACGGUACCCGGAGAAGAAGCCCCGGCUAACUUCGUGCCAGCCGCCGCCGUAACAC
rnacentral:rRNA from 1 species